AUACUAACGAAUACGAGAAGGGCCGUAGCAGGGUGAGGGUCGGGACUUCCGAUCAUUAUUGUACAAAGAAAACAUUUGCCCUAUUUUUGUCCAUUACCUCAACUGUGUCGUUACUUUUUGUAAAUCUUAGGAAGAGAUGGAGGAUGACAUCUCAUGAGUGACCGUCCGUGGGAAAACGUACACUUAGGUUUUCCGUGUAAACGCCAAAAACAAACGGAUAUUAAACGGAUUUUUUUCCCGUGUCUACGGAUAUUCUUUACGUGGACACGGGUUGCACAAUCUUAGCCCACGACUUUCAGUAUUUUUUUUUUAACUGUAGAGAAGACUUAAGUUCACGGCUUUCAAAGUCGUAUGGAGGAUUGCAGACAAUCGAGUGUACGUCGUGGACAUCGGAUGAUAGGCCGCAAAGAUUUUGAAUGAAGGUCAAUGAGGAUUUUUAUUUAUCAUUUAACUCUUAAACUGCUUAAAAUUCUAAGUCUUUUAUCAUUAAACUCCGAAACUGUUUAAUGAUUACGUUCUCGGGAUCCUCCGCGUUAUGUUUGACCAUGCAUUACUCCCUUAAAUCGCGGGAAGUGAGUAAACAUCAAUUUAAAACUACAGCCAAAUCUUUGUCGCUGUUUAUCUCCGUUCCUCCUCCUCCUUCCAUAGAUAAACACGUCGAUUGCCGUAGAGUAGUGAGCAUACUUGAUAAGAAAGCUUAGUUUAUCGAUAUCGAAGUAUUUAACUCAAACCAUCUCGAGUAUCAAAUCAAACAAGAAAAACUAUGAUCAACAACGAAGACGAAACAAGCGACAAAAUGUUCGAAAAGUGCGCGAAAUUGCAUACCGACUUCGGAGUUUCUUGUUUGUCUAAAAACAAGCUGAAAUCGCCACUAGUUGAUGACACAACUUUCGCCCUUAUUUACGCAAUCUUACAUAUACACAUAUAGCACACAUAAAAUAAAUCCUCGAAUUUUGAGGAAUAAGUAUUUCUGAUUUAUUUCUGUACGAUUUCACUAGAGCGGCCAUAAUCAAUAAACCUUUGAUACCGACUUCGGAGCUUCUAGUUUGUCUAACAAAAAAACUUAUUUACGCAUUAUCGUACAUAUCCGCAAAUAACACACAUCAAACAAAUCCUCGAAUUAUGAGGAAUAUAAGGAAUUAUGAAUUCUGUAAGAUUCCACAAGAACGGUCAUGAUCAGCGAAUGUCUGAUACCAACGGAGUUUCUUUUUUUCUCUAACAAGAAGCCGAAACCGCGACUAGUUCAUAACAAAACUCUCGUCCUGUAUUUACGUGUUAUCGCUACAUAACACACACCAAAUUAACCCACAUAUUAUAAGGAAUAAGUAUUUCUCAUUUAUUUCUGUGCCAUUACUAGAGCGGCCACGAUCAGUGAAUGUUUGAUACCGAUUUCGGUGUUUAUUGUUUACCUAACAUCAAGCCGUAACCACCACAACGACUCAAAGUUGUGAAAACGACUUUUACUUAAAUCGGAAGAUUCAAUCGAAUAGUUCAACAUUCACGACUCGCGAUCCGUGUGCUUGAUUCGUAGACACGGAAUCUUGACAGCCGUGUCAACGGCCUUUCAAAUUCUUUUUAACUGCCUUUUUUACCGCGUGCCCACGGCUUUUCCUUCCGUGGCCACAGGAAAAAAAUCCGUGUCAACGGAAAAAAGUAACGUGGUCACGGAAAAAAAAUCCGUUUAAACGGCGUGUGCCCGUGCACGUGCCCACGAGUUUGAAAACCUUAGUGUACGUUUUCCCGUGGACGGUCACGAUGUCCUUUUUUUAUAUGAACUCGACAAAGCCCGUUUGCAAUACAUCAUCUUAUGAACCGAAUACAAGUAGGGCGGUGGUAGGGUUCCUUCUCUGGCAGACAAUACUUGUUACUUUUUCCUCCCCCUUCCACCAAAUAUGUAAUUACGCAUAUCUUCUGAUAAAAGGAUUGGAUGGACAAAUAAAAAAUCGUUUGUUAGCCCCUUUCAUUGCAACACGUAAGGUGAACCCGUUAAAUGUUGCUGUUUGGUGCAGGGAAAUGUUUUCAAACUAACUAGAUUUGUCCUUGGACAAUACUAGAAGUAAAGGUUAUUAAAAUCGAGCCAUUUAGAAGAAUCUCUGAUAUCUUGGCACAUUUAUUUUUCUAGUAAUUCUGUUAUUUGCCUACUGUUGAAUUGCCUCAGAUAUUAAUUCAUAGAAAAGCAGGGAGUUUUGUAUCAUUACUGUUAAUCAUCUCAAUAGUUUUAUGAUUAUUUUUGCUUUUUUACCUAUAAAGAAUUUCGCAGAUAAUCCUUUUCACCCUUGUUGUGACUGUAAUUACAUUCCCGACAGGCUCCAUUGAAGCUCCAUUUAAGGGUUGUGAGUAAGAGAUUAAUGUCCCUAGAUAUAUCACGCGACAAAAUAGUUUUGUAGUUUAAUAUAAUAAUAUUAUGAGAACUAGUAUCUUAUUUAUCAAAAGUUAUGAAUUAUUAUUUAUAUAAUAAUAUUUAUAUUUCGAGCUCGCAUAAUCCGGCCGCCUCGAACUUUGUGUUUUUGGGGUUUUAGUGCCGGAAAAACUAUUAAAGCCUACAGGUAGGCUACGAAAACGGCCUCUAAUAAAUCAUCGUAAAAUCUCUGACAGGCCCCUGUCGCUUAUUUCCUUUUUAGUGCCGAAGAGAUCUGCUUGGUUACACAGGGGAUUUCAAUUUUUUUUUCAGAUCCGACACUAGGUAUUUUGGUUCCUAUAAAGUCUUAGAUGCUAUUAAUAAGUAUUUAUAUUACUUCCUUUGUACAAAAAACAAAACCAAAAUCAGGCAGGGGUGGUGGCUUAAUUAUUAUAGACAGGGGCUUAAAUGGGAUGGGGGUUAUAAGAUCUUUUACUUUAACUUAUUUUCUAUCCUCGAAAAGAGCUAUCUCCCCCUCUAUAUGAAAAAAUUGGACAUUUCUGCAAGCCGGGAAGUGAUAUUUUUCAGUGCCGAUAUCUGGAGGGUGGAAACCCCGUAUCUGAGAAAACUUUAAGCGGGUCGCAAGAAGCAGGUCUUAACUGGAAAAGACACAAUUCAUGAAUGCAUAGAAGCUUCUUUACUAUUUUUUUUUAUUAUUAUUAUUUGGUCAUACUAACGGAAGGUGACAAUUCUGACAUUUGAGAAUUUAAAUUAUACGAGUUCCGCUGUUAUGAUAUACCAAAACACAAUUUUUGUCGUAUUUAUUCUAGUUUUUAUUAUAAAAAUAACGCAUUUUGUUUUAUGUUCUUAAAA